rnacentral:rRNA from 1 species
GACGAACGCUGGCGGCGUGCUUAACACAUGCAAGUCGAACGGAAAGGCCCUGCUUGUUUUGGGUGCUCGGGUGGCUAACGGGUGAGUAACACGUGAGGAACGUGCCGUGUACGUUGUGAUAACUACAGAAAAGGAUAGCUAAGAGUGGAUGGGAGCUCCAGCUUCAGGUAGGUAUUUGGAGAGUGUCGGCGGGUGGAGAGGGACUCGCGGGUUAGCAGGUUGUUGGUGGGGUAGUGGAUUAGCAAGGCUUUGAGGGGUAGCCGGCCGGAGAGGGUGACCGGCCCCAUUGGGACUGAGCUACGGCACAGACCAAUCCGGGAGGGAGCAGUGCGGUAUAUUGCACAAUGGGAGGAAGCAUGCCGCAGUAAAGCCGCGCGGGGGAUGACGGCAUUCGGGUUGUAACCCGAUUUCGCCUCUGACGAAGCGUGAGUGACGGUAAUGGGUAAAGAAGCACCGGCUAACUACGUG